rnacentral:rRNA from 1 species
UACAGAGACUGCAAGCGUUAUUCGGAUUCACUGGGCGUAAAGGGUGCGCAGGCGGCCAAGUGUGUGAGGCGUGAAAGCCCGGGGCUCAACUCCGGAAUUGCCUUUAAGACUGCAUCGCUCGAAUUGUGGAGAGGUAAGUGGAAUUCCGAGUGUAGAGGUGAAAUUCGUAGAUAUUCGGAAGAACACCAGUGGCGAAGGCGACUUACUGGACACAUAUUGACGCUGAGGUGCGAAAGCGUGGGGAGCAAACAGG